rnacentral:lncRNA from 1 species
CCGAACAGAUCAUCUCAAAAUGGCAAUGUUCAAAUGGAUAGUCCUGGGACUUUUUUUUGCAGCACCUGCAAUAGCUGACUGGUUAUGGCCGCAGGCGUUGGAGUUGCUGCAGUCGUUGUGUCUUCAUUUCAUGUGGACCUGCUGCCUUCUCAGAUUGAGUUGAAGUCUUGUCGUUAUCUCUUCUAUUCUGUGGCUUUAAGUGCGGAUGGAGAAUUCAACACCUGUUUAAGUGCGGAUGGAGAAUUCAACACCUGCACUCAUGAAAAUGUUUUUUUUUUCUAAGGUCUUCAUAGUCUGAAUCAAGACUUGCAACAAGCAACUGAAUUUUUUUAUCCUCCUCUGCCCUCUGCACAAGAACAUUAGAAUCAGUUGUAUGAGGUCGAUACAGGGCAAGCUCAUUCCACAUACCUUACAACUUCCCAAGAUUCUCAAUAAAAGGACUUUCUCUCUUGAUAAGGGCAUGUUCACCGCAAAAGAUUAAAAUUAAGGUAAAAGUAAGACAUGUUAUAAAAUGACCUGGAAUAUGUACGAAUAUUUAGCUGCACGUAAAGUAGAUGAGACACAGCAUUUAACGAGGUUCGGCUAUGCCUACGUCCUCGGAGAGCAGCAGCAGUAACUUUUCACUAUAUAAAAUAAUAUGGCUACAAUAGUGUUUACAAUAUGUGUGGCUCACUGAAUUUUCUCUCUACUCACUCACCCUCUUUCUUCCUUCUCUUCCUCUUCUCUGCCUGACUCUCUUUCUUUUCUCUUUCCUCUUUUCUUUUUCCUCUUCUCUCUUUCCUCUUCUCUUUCCUCUUCUCUCUUUCCUCUUCUUUGUUUCUUUCCGUUUCUCCCUUUUUCUUCUUUGUCUUCUUAUUCCUUUCACUUUGCAGGUUGCCUAUUUAUAGGCAUUGAUAAAUGGCACCCGUGAUUCAUCUUCAC